GACAGAGGGUGCAAACGUUGUUCGGAAUUACUGGGCGUAAAGCGCGUGUAGGCUGCUCUGCAAGUCGGGUGUGAAAGCCCUGGGCUCAACCUAGGAAGUGCACUCGAAACUGCGGGGCUGGAGUUCUGGAGAGGAAGGCGGAAUUCUCGGUGUAGAGGUGAAAUUCGUAGAUAUCGAGAGGAACACCGGUGGCGAAGGCGGCCUUCUGGACAGUGACUGACGCUGAGACGCGAAAGCGUGGGGAGCAAACAGG
rnacentral:rRNA from 1 species